GACGAACGCUGGCGGCGGGCUUAACACAUGCAAGUCGAACGGAAAGGCCCUGCUUUUGUGGGGUGCUCGAGUGGCGAACGGGUGAGUAACACGUGAGUAACCUGCCCUUGACUUUGGGAUAACUUCAGGAAACUGGGGCUAAUACCGGAUAGGAGCUCCUGCUGCAUGGUGGGGGUUGGAAAGUUUCGGCGGGUGGGGAUGGACUCGCGGCUUAUCAGCUUGUUGGUGGGGUAGUGGCUUACCAAGGCUUUGACGGGUAGCCGGCCUGAGAGGGUGACCGGCCACAUUGGGACUGAGAUACGGCCCAGACUCCUACGGGAGGCAGCAGUGGGGAAUAUUGCACAAUGGGCGGAAGCCUGAUGCAGCAACGCCGCGUGCGGGAUGACGGCCUUCGGGUUGUAAACCGCUUUCGCCUGUGACGAAGCGUGAGUGACGGUAAUGGGUAAAGAAGCACCGGCUAACUACGUG
rnacentral:rRNA from 1 species